GACGGAGGAUGCAAGUGUUAUCCGGAAUCACUGGGCGUAAAGCGCACGUAGGCGGCUUUCUAAGUCAGGGGUGAAAUCCUGGAGCUCAACUCCAGAACUGCCUUUGAUACUGGAGAGCUUGAGUCCGGAAGAGGUGAGUGGAACUCCGAGUGUAGAGGUGGAAUUCGUAGAUAUUAGGAAGAACACCAGUGGCGAAGGCGGCUCACUGGUCCGGUACUGACGCUGAGGUGCGAAAGCGUGGGGAGCAAACAGG
rnacentral:rRNA from 1 species